rnacentral:rRNA from 1 species
CCUGUUUUGCAAGAGUGACGGGCGAUUUGUGCAUAAAGAUAAACUUUUUCAAUAAUAAUUCCUUUUAAUUAUUUUUUUUUAAAUCCUUUUUAUAUAUUUUUCUUUUUUUCAAUGAAAAUUUGUUUAUUGUAUUCCACUGAUAUAAUUUUUUGUAACUUUUAUCUUGAUUUGUUAAUCUGCUCUUCGUUCAUUUUAGUUAAAGCUUCAACUUAUACUUCAACAAUGAUAUAAAAAGUAAUAAAAAAAUUUCAUUUAAUCGUGGGUUAUCGAUUACAGAGCAGAAUCCUCUACCAAAUUUCUUUACCGCCAUUUCAUUUAAGUUUUGCUUAUUUAGCUACUGUCUUUUUUUAUUUUAGGA